ensembl:lncRNA
CUCCGCCUCCCGCGAGGCCGCUCGGGGCCGUUCGGAAUCGCUCGCGGUCGUUCGGAAUCGCUCGGGCGACGCAGGGCGCGACGGGCGCUGUCCGUGGUGCCGAACGCUGCAGCUCCGAGGGGCUGCGGCGGCGGAGCUUCGUGACCCGGCGGCUUCCCCUCGGUGCUAAAGAACGAUGUUUGCUCCGGGGCUCGGUGUGGGAAGGUGGCACCUUUCAGUGAUGGAUGGCUUCUGAGGUCUUUGCGUGAUCUUUCGUUGAUUCCUUGCACUGCCUUCCUGCCACGGUUUCCUCUGAAAGUAUUUCCAUUUGUAGAGACAAUCAGCUACAAUUAUACUAAUAUUUCUCAUGCUCCACACUGUGCAAACGCUUUUCCCACUUGGCGGAAAGCACCUUUAAAAAUUAUCCCCUGGAAUAGAUGGUAGAAGGUCACGUCAUCCCAGGCGGCCAGCACCUCGGUGUGUCUGGAAGCUGCCUCUGCUGUUCUCGUUGGUUGUCCUCCGUGUCCACUUCCUAGACAGUAGGUCUGUUCGGCACAACAGUCGCCUUGGCCGCAUAAUGCCUCAGUCUGUCGCUCUCCUUUCCAUAAAGGAGUUGAAGUUCUGCCCUUCCCUUCGAGCCCCUCAGGAAGAACACGUCCCCGUUGCCCUGCACUCCUCAAGUGGCUGAAUCCUCCAGCCCCACCUGGCUGCUUCCCUCCUCCCCGUCUCAUUGUGGAUCCUUCCCAGCCCCUUACGUGUCAUCUCUGUGAGCAGAGUUUGGGCGUCUGCGUAGUUACCACAGCACAUCGGUACCUAGCACCGCGUCCACUGCCGCGACGUGUCAGCAAAGCAUUGCUUGGGAGGCGGGGUGGGGAAACGUGGGUUUGGGGCUGUCGGAGGUACAAUAACAAAUGUUCCGCGUUUUAGCAAAAGGGUGGUAGGUGUAAAGCGAUAAUCCAGCGGCAGCACUGGGGGAGUCACGGAGAUCCAGGUGUUCCCGGGCGGCCGGGAAGGCACAACGAGCGGUGGUGCCCGUGCCUCUGCCACCCUCUGGCGGAGGGAGAGAGGCGGUGGAGCGGUGCGCGGGGCGGGCCGGAGCCGGGGGCCGGAGGUCAGCCCGGUCGCCUCGCCUUCAUGCCGCUGCGCCCGGAGGCCUUGGGGCGAGCCGGUGCUGUCUAGGGAAAGCGGGAAGCGCCGCUGGCACCGGGACUUGCCCGGCGGCAAGCGCUGCGUGGGG